rnacentral:misc_RNA from 1 species
ACACCAUCAAGCCUGGCUUGGUAUUGGGCCUUGCCUGUAACACGGCCGGCUUUAAAAUCAGUGGCGGUGCCGCCUGGCUCUAAGCGUAGUAACUUUUCUCGCUAUUGUGCCCGGCGGUUGCUUGCCAACAACCCCUAAUUUAAUAG